rnacentral:misc_RNA from 1 species
CCCGACGCGGAUGAUGUUUCUCGGCGGCACGGCGCUGGAAGGCCCGCGCCACGUCUGGUGGAACUUCGUGUCGUCGAGCAAGGAGCGCAUCGAGGAAGCGAAGGCCGACUGGAAAGCCGGCCGCUUCGCCCAUNNNNNNNNNNNNGAAUUCAUUCCGCUGCCGGAGUGAUCCUCAGAACACCGUGUAGCCGCCAUCGAUCAGGAUGCUAUCCGCGGUGUGAUACGAUGACGCCUUGCUCAUCAGGUAAACGGCGAUGCCGCCGAAGUCCGACGGUUCGCCGAACCGGCGCAUGG